rnacentral:rRNA from 1 species
CCCUUAGACGUUCUGGGCCGCACGCGCGCUACACUGACAAAGGCAACGAGCUACUCUUCACCGAAAGGUGUGGGUAAUCUUUUGAAACUUUGUCGUGCUGGGGAUAGAUCCUUGCAAUUUUUGAUCUUAAACGAGGAAUUCCUAGUAAGCGCAAGUCAUCAACUUGCGUUUAUUACGUCCCUGCCCUUUGUACACACCGCCCGUCGCUACUACCGAUUGAAUGGUUUAGUGAGGCCUUCGGAUCCGCGACUCGUUUGUGGAGAAGUUGGACAAACUCAGUCAUUUAGAGGAAGUAAAAGUCGUAACA